rnacentral:rRNA from 1 species
GACGAACGCUGGCGGCGUGCUUAACACAUGCAAGUCGAACGGUAAGGCUCCAGCUUGCUGGGGUACACGAGUGGCGAACGGGUGAGUAACACGUGGGUGACCUGCCCUGCACUUCGGGAUAAGCCUGGGAAACUGGGUCUAAUACCGGAUAGGACCGCACCGUGAGGGUGUGGUGGAAAGUUUUUUCGGUGUGGGAUGGGCCCGCGGCCUAUCAGCUUGUUGGUGGGGUAAUGGCCUACCAAGGCGGCGACGGGUAGCCGGCCUGAGAGGGUGGACGGCCACAUUGGGACUGAGACACGGCCCAGACUCCUACGGGAGGCAGCAGUGGGGAAUAUUGCACAAUGGGCGGAAGCCUGACGCAGCGACGCCGCGUGGGGGAUGACGGCCUUCGGGUUGUAAACUCCUUUCACCAUCGACGAAGGGUUUCUGACGGUAGAUGGAGAAGAAGCACCGGCUAACUACGUGCCAGCAGCCGCGGUAAUACGUAGGGUGCGAGCGUUGUCCGGAAUUACUGGGCGUAAAGAGCUCGUAGGUGGUUUGUCGCGUCGUCUGUGAAAUUCCGGGGCUUAACUCCGGGCGUGCAGGCGAUACGGGCAUAACUUGAGUACUGUAGGGGAGACUGGAAUUCCUGGUGUAGCGGUGAAAUGCGCAGAUAUCAGGAGGAACACCGGUGGCGAAGGCGGGUCUCUGGGCAGUAACUGACGCUGAGGAGCGAAAGCAUGGGGAGCGAACAGGAUUAGAUACCCUGGUAGUCCAUGCCGUAAACGGUGGGCGCUAGGUGUGGGUUUCCUUCCACGGGAUCCGUGCCGUAGCUAACGCAUUAAGCGCCCCGCCUGGGGAGUACGGCCGCAAGGCUAAAACUCAAAGGAAUUGACGGGGGCCCGCACAAGCGGCGGAGCAUGUGGAUUAAUUCGAUGCAACGCGAAGAACCUUACCUGGGCUUGACAUAUACAGGAUCGCGCCAGAGAUGGUGUUUCCCUUGUGGCUUGUAUACAGGUGGUGCAUGGUUGUCGUCAGCUCGUGUCGUGAGAUGUUGGGUUAAGUCCCGCAACGAGCGCAACCCUUGUCUUAUGUUGCCAGCACGUUGUGGUGGGGACUCGUAAGAAACUGCCGGGGUUAACUCGGAGGAAGGUGGGGAUGACGUCAAAUCAUCAUGCCCCUUAUGUCCAGGGCUUCACACAUGCUACAAUGGUCGGUACAGUGGGUUGCCAGUCCGUGAGGGCGAGCUAAUCCCGCAAAGCCGGUCUCAGUUCGGAUCGGGGUCUGCAACUCGACCCCGUGAAGUCGGAGUCGCUAGUAAUCGCAGAUCAGCAACGCUGCGGUGAAUACGAUCGCGGGCCU